rnacentral:misc_RNA from 1 species
AAGUCGUAACAAGGUUUCCGUAGGUGAACCUGCGGAAGGAUCAUUAACGAGUUAGGGUCUUCCAAGGCCCGACCUCCCAACCCUGUGUUUAUUGUACCAUGUGUUGCUUCGGCGGGACCGUCUUCACGACCGCCGGAGGGCCGUAAAACGUCCUCUGGCCCGCGCCCGCCGAUGGCCCCCCCAUUAAAAACUCUUGAAUAAUCAUGCCUAUAUUGUCUGAGUAAUACACAAAAAUUAAAAGCAAAACUUUCAACAACGGAUCUCUUGGUUCUG